CCAGCUUCUAACAGGAAAUAUAUAUUAUUUUUUUCUGAAUUUGUUGGCAUAACAAAGAAACAAAGCUGGUGUGGGUGUAACAUAACCAGGUUUACUGGUACUCGUGGUUGAAUGGAUAGGCUGACAUGCUUCUUGCAAAUAUUCUUGAGAAAAGGCGAUUACAACCUGCUUAUAGUGCUGCCUCAAGAAUGCCAUAGGGAGAAACUAAUUUCCUAAUGUGCUCCUAGCUAGAAAAUUACCAUUUUAGGUUUUCUGUUGUUGUUGAUCUCUUCAGGAAAAUGGUAAAAAGUUACACAUAUAUAAAAUCAGCUUUUGGACUGCUGUAACAGGGAAAACACUAUGAAAUACCUUACAGCAUAGAUCAUCAAAUGAAGCUUUCUAAUGUUCUUGGGAUGUACAUAUUCCCAGGUUAAUAGUACUCGGUCCAAGUACUAUUGGUUAUGUAAGGCCACAAUUCCUAGAAUUUAUUCAUUUAAGCCUUUUGUUCUGAUUGCUUUUUGCUUUUCAAUUUCAGAAAGCUUGGUUGAAAGGGAUGUUCAUUUGCUGCAUUUCUGUGAAUCACAAAGAAGGGAAUGUGAGUUUGUUAGCUUAAGUUCAGAUGUUGCCAUGUUCAAGAGCUCUUUCAAAUAGUGACAGCCGGUUUUAGAUGGUUUGGAUUUUUGUGGUGAACGGUUCUUGGAAAUUUUUGGUUAUAUAAGAACUUAUAGGGAAAGUCAGCUCUUAAAACAUACUGUCUACAUCACAAAAUAGUUGUAAACAUUAUGAGGAAGUGAUGAAAGCUGGAAUAGUAUCCUGAUCAACAGGUGGCCCUGGGGAAGUUAUUCUUCACUAUUUGCCCUAUAAAUAAGCACUGGAGUAGGAAAAAGACCUGCCCUGGGGAAAGACACAAGGUUAGCAAGAGAAGAUAAUCAAUCACCUCACAGUAUCUGUCAAUCUGUCAUCCAUGUAAGCACUCAAAAUGAAAAUAAUUUGAACCUUAAUGGAAUUUGAAUACUAGCCAAGUUCCAUAGCUUUUAUGCUAGCACCACCACCAGAUACAUGUAAGUGAACUGCAAAGACGAAAAAAAAAAAAAAAAAAAAGGAAAAAAAGGUAAAUUUAAAUAAUGAAAUUAACUACCAUGAUAGAAGUGACUGUGAGAUCUUUUUGCAUAUCCCCUCUUACCACAAACAUUCUUGAGUAUAUGUUGGCAUGUACACUCCGCUGUCUGACUACAUGCUAUUUUUCUCCCCCCAGGACCUUUGCCUCAGAACAGGGCAAUGCAGGGAUGAUACAACUAGGUAACUGUCCAUUGAUGGUUUUCCUGCUUUCUCAAGACUUCCACUGUUUCAAGAAAAAAAAUCAAUCACAUCCCUAAUACAAAUCCCUAAUUUUUAGGGAAAUGUGCACGGAAGUACAGUACAGUCUAGCUUUCCAUAUCUUUUAGCUGAGUGGCAUCCACAGCAAUGAAUAGGAUGCUCUUAUGAUGAAUUGAAAACAGUUAAAAAUUAGUCUGAACCAAGUUAGUCCAUGCUGAAGUGGGAAUAGGGUCAUGGCCGGCUCCGCUAUGUACUCUGACACUAAUCUGCUUUGGAUUCACGAUCUUGGUAGGGAAUUUCACAGAGCUGGUCAGUGGUGGUUUGUGGGUUUUGUUUCAUUUGUGUUUUUCUGAUUGUUUUGUUUUUAGCCCAGAAAGUAGCUUAUGGGUUAGGAUCAUCAUACUCUCUUAUUCAGUAUGUAGAUCCCCUUAAAAUGUUUUUUCAUUGUAAUGUCUUCCUUACCUGAAGGAAUUCAAAAUGGUCUUUUCCACCUCCCAGGCAAAGAUUUUCUGAGCUCAGGUUCCCACAGACUCCUGCCUAAGCUCUUCUGUUUUGCAUGAGUUCAUUUCUUAUUCAUAGAAAAAGGAACCAAGACAGACUCUGUAGCUGUAGGGGAAGAACCAUCACCUGAAAAUUGGGAUUUCAUUCUAGUCACCUCCGGCUAAAGCUCAACUGUUUUAAACGUUCACUGGAAUUAUGAUUUAAUCCCAGCUCAAAUAAUUCUAUGCUCUCGUACCCUCUCUUUCUCUCCUCCUGCCUUGCCAAUCAGGCCAGUCAUGUCAUCAGGCUUCUGUCUCCCCCCAUCUUCCUACACAUGCACAAAAUCGUGGUACAUAUGUAGAUACCACAAUACAAUACGCACCCUAGUCCCUGUGUAAAUAUUACAAUACAAUAAGUACCCUAUUCAACAUGACGCUUAGAACUUUUGACAGACCACCUCGCCCGUGUAAGAAAUCGAACUACUAGUUCACGUGGGCCAUCUAGUGGUAAAACAGAAAUAUUACAAAGCGAAAACCAUUUCAAACUUUUCUGAAAAUGUUUGAAUAUAAUCUGCAAAAUUAUAUUAGAGGUUACUUUACUGAUCAGUGGAUGCUUUCCCCAGACAGCAGUAAGCAAGAUGAUUAGGCUUAUAAGCCAUACUCUGAAUAAGAUGAGAGUAUGUCCAGUCUUCUCUCCAGCAUUAGUCCUGAAAACUACCAUUUUUAAUUUUUCAGAAAUUAUAACUCAUAUUGUAAAUCUUGUAAAUCACUUAGAGCAGGGAAGAGGUCUACAGAAAGUUCCUAAAAACAAUUUCAAACCCUCUGUUGAAUGCUUGUGUCUUUCUUUUGAAUGGAGGAGAACUUGGCGGAAGAUGCCAGAUACUCAGACAGAGGCUCUCAUUUCACUGAACACAGCUGUUACUUGGCUUACAGCUCUGGAGUUUCAGGACUCUGAGAGCACCCACCAGCUCUACAACCACUUCUCACUUUUACAGGGGUUAGGUUGCCCAUGCCCAAUGACACUGCGCACCUGGGAUCAGAUUGCUGUGCAAAGUCUGUGGAAGAAGGAGCUGUGAGCAGCCUUGUAGAAAGCUUCUGUGCCUUGGCUCAGCAGUUGCAUUUAUGUGUAUUUAAGCUCAGGCUCUGGGCCCUGCCUGAGCUGUGCCGUAGACAUGCCUGUGCCUGGCUACAGAACUCACUUAUCCUGGCUCUAUCUUGCUGGUGUCACCUUCUGGCUUGACCUUGGACCUGCCGUGUCAUUAAGGACUUGUCUGGCAGCCUUCAGACUUCAGCUGACCGAGGCUAUUGUCACUGAACCUGUUCUGCUUUCCUUACUGAAGUGCUCCUCUUAAGAAGGCCAUCAUGCCAGCUGUUCUGCCACCUUCCCUGGCAGCCCUGUUCCUGAUUUUUCCUCUAGAGAAUGCUCUAAAUCAAAAGCUUUUAACUCUGUCUUGGAUCACACAAACCCGUGCCACAAACCCGUGCCUUAUCUACUUCUGAUGGACAAUAACCUUCAACAUAGUUCAAUCACUUGCAUUUUCCACCCAAAACCAGUAGCACACCCAGCUAUUUCAGCUUUCCCUUGUUUGCCUCCAGUCUAUCAUACAGUUACCACUAAACAAAAGUGCAAAUCACUGGACUGAAAGUUAGCCAUCAUGCCUAUCAGCUUUGUGACUGUAUUGAGGCAACAUACAGCAUAAGAGCAUCACUUUUGCAAAAAUGAAGUGACUAAAAAUUUAGCAGGUAAACAGGCAAACAUUCUGAUCCUGUGUACUCUAGCAAUAGUGCCAACAGGCAGAAGGAAAGAGAUUAAUGGCUGCAUACCUUCUUGGACUAAGCUGACAUAGAGAGCACCCUUACUUUCACCAUCUCAACAGAGAAAUGGUUCCCAAAACCACACCAAGUGGACACAGGUUAGAGUAGCCUCCUGAAUUAUGACUGUCACAGAAUGUUCAGAAGUCAAGAAUCAUAAAAAUUCAUUGCCUUGGUAACAGCCACAUAUGGAGGGGAAAAAAAAGUCAAUCAAUGUUAAUGCUUUAUCUGUGGUACCUAAAAGAACAAGAAUACACAUCUGCUUGAAUAUAUUUUAUUUCAAGUAUCAUAGAAAAAUCACUGCCACCAUCAAAAAAGCUUUACAAGAUAAAGGAUAUAAAGAAAAGACAUACAAAUUCAUAAUAAAUAUACAGCUCUCUUUCAUCAUAUUACACACAAUAUUACUUAAAGUUGCACACUUAGGAACAAAUUACUCCCACUGCAGUUAGCAGACAUUUCACUUUUAAGGUUGGUCCCUGUAUUUAAGGCUAAAUCCCGCCCUUCUUACUUAGGCAAGUUCUCAGAGGCAUUCCAAAGAACUCAACCUGACUAAGAAAUUGGUGGCUGGACUUGUUUCAUGAGUAUCUUAGCUGGAUAGGCUAGACCAGGUUGGAUGAGGCUCCAGGCAACCUGAGCUAGUGUGUGGCAUCCCUGCCUGUGGCAGUGCAGGUGGAACUAGAUGAUCUUGAAGGCUUCUUCCAGCCCACACCAUUCUAAGAGUCUAUGAUUAGCCGCUGUACUUAUAUGCAACUGUAGAGCAUGAUUAUCUCUUUACACUGGUUCUGUUCAGGAAUCAGAUGAUAUAGUUAACAUGAUAAAAAUCACCCAUAU